CGGAAACAAAGACACCUACAUCUUGGACGUCCUUAAGAUAUUCUCACGUCACAUUGUGGGGUUCACGUAUCAUCGGAAGAACGAUUCAACCAAUGAAAUUGAAGCAGAGGCCGAGUCAGGAAAUUUGAACAUGUGGAAGGAAUACUUCAGACAGAUACGUUACUGACACUUCGUGGGAGGCAUUUAUUCCAAGGUAAGUUCAUUUACCAUGUAUUUUCAUGAAAAAAAAUCAGAUUUCUAACAUUUAAUAAGAUAAUUAGCAAACAAAGAUGCACAGAACAAGUAAUCAUGGAUUAAAUAUUAUAUAGUAUGCAUUUUCACUUGACUGCUUCAUCAGUUGAUUACACCAAAGCUAGUUAUGAGAUAUCUGGAGUAAAACAUGCUUUUCCAAUGCUUCCACGCUGUCUGUAAAACCAAUAUGAGCGACAAAAGAACUCUCCUUGAAAUUAGAUCAGUCAGUUAGCGUUAGCAUUAGCUUUAGCACUGCUCUCAGGGCAGGAGUACUCAAUAUUGAUAUUACUGUUAUUUUUAAUGAACUGUGUGCUGCUUACAGGGCAAGAGUAUUCAAUAUUUAAAUGUAUACUAUUUUAUGCUAUUCAAAUUACUAUUAUUUUACUAAACUAUGUGCUGCUUUCAGGGC